rnacentral:lncRNA from 1 species
AAUUUGCAGAAAAGUAAUAAUCGAUUAAUUUCCAUACGAUGAGAAAAUUUACCAUUUAACAUCCCUAUCUUAUCACAUCUCUAAUAAGCACACCCACAAAAACUAAAGAAAAAGGAAAACUAUUGCUUACAUAAAUAAAAUAAUAUAAAAAGAACAAAUUAAAGACGAAAAACUAAAAGGGGAAAAUAAACAAUAUACAUUAAGUAAAAUUAAGUCGUCUAAAUAUCUGAAUUAUAAGAAAAAAUAGAUGCCUUCCAGCAACCACAUUUAUUCUUUUGGGUGAAGAUACUCAAGUGAAGCAUAACAUUGUAUUACAAGACGCUUUUACAAGUACCUUCUUCCAUGUUUGCUCCUCCAUAGAUGCAUCAACAAUGACAACACCCCCUUCCCCUUAGCAGCGAAACUUAAAUGUCAUAUGAUCACUACAAUUGUCGAUGAACAAUUGCUUAUCCACUCAUAUCACUAAAAAAAAUAGAACCGCCGGUCAAAACCAGAAAAUGUAAAUCUCAAUUUUUUGGAAUAGUUAUAAGAUGAUGAUUGGACAUUUGUGGAAUGCUAUACAUAAGACCUCUAUAAUAGAACAAACUUAGAAAAUAGUAAGGAAAUUUAGUUUACCGUGUCCUCUUUCGAGUUGGCUGCCGCAAAAUAACUCACAUGCAUUCUAAUAGAAAGCUUGAAGAACUGGGAAUUC